rnacentral:misc_RNA from 1 species
AUAUGCAAUGAAGAUAAAUGUCCAUCUGCAUAAUUUCAUUUAUAGAAUUUCAACCAUAACAAAUCAACAAAUUACAAAAACAAAAAAUUUCCCAUCUGUAAGUUUCAAUUACAAAAUCAAAGAAAAACAAAUUGACAAAGGAGAUUAUGAACAAUUCGAAAGCCCAUCCCUCCACCUCGAUCCCGAAACAGCCACCCUCUCCGCCCUUAAACACCACAUACAAACAGGCUUUCUAUAAAGACUCCUACUUGUGAAGUCCCGUCCAUCAACAUUCAACGCACCUUAUCGCAAUAUCACAAAUGGAGGUCACGGAAGACCAAAGACCUAACAAUGCCCUUCAAAACCAUAUUUAACAACCUGGUCCUCAAUUCAAGUCGCACUGCCAAAUACCGUAUGAUGACAUCCAGCUACGAGUGAUUGAGACAUGGAAGCAAGAAUUUGAAAGUGAUUGAUGCUGCAAGGGUAAAGGAGAUAUGGGUAGUUAGAGCUUGAGAUUGAGGUGAAAGUGGUGAAGGAGUUGGAGUUUUGGUUGACGGUAUAAGUGCAGGAGACAAUGGAGAAGGAGCUAGUGUUGAUGUUACAGUGGGUAGAGUUGACAGAGAGGCAAGGGAGGCGGAGGAACACUGAAAAGAGAGGUAAACUUUUUAAUCUAUUUUUUAAAAUAUAGUAAACUCGUGAAUAUUAUCAAAGCUUAGGAAUUAUACAAUAAUUUAUCUCUUUUAAUUAUCAAUUUAUUGAGUAAUCAUUAAUUUAUUGGUUGUUCACAAAUGCAUACACGCAUAAAAAUUUUUGAAUUGAGCUAAACCAGGAGUCGAAAUACCUAUACGUCUUUAGUUGGCCAAGAAUAUCCCUCAUACAUACCUAACUACAAUAAAGAAUUGGUUUUGAUUUUUUAAAAUAUUAUAAUUUUUAUUAUUUAAUCAACCAGGGAAAGGUAAAAGAAAAAGGAAAUAAAACAUAAAUAAACAAUAAAAUUUAAUAAUUAAAAUUCAUCUACAGACAAAAGAAACUAAAAUAAAAGUCAUCUCGGCAAAUAAUUGGCGACAUUUGCGCCUGCAGGGGUACAUUUAUCUUCGACGCCUUCAAACGGAUAAAAAGGGACGGAUCAAAGCACCAUAUUUAGAGCUUCAAUCCAGCAGUUUCAUUUUUGCAAUGUAGAAGAGAAUUAUUAUAUAAAAACCAAGUCAAUCAUAUGCUGAAUAAUACUUGGUGAACAUAUUAAGUUGAGAGGCUAAUGAAUCGAAUUUAAGUUUGCUCUCUUUCCAAUAAUUUCAAUACAGAUUAAAACAGCGGAUAUACAUGCAAUAUGGUUUGUUUCCAGUAUAAUUCCACCCACCUGCUCAGCAGAUUGGCUUAGAUUAAAUUACAAAUUCAUCAUUUUCAAGAAAACACAAUCUUUGUGGCCUAGCCUAGUUUCACAUAGUGAUGCGGCUAAAAACAAAUCACUUAUCUGAUAGAUUCAGAUUUAAAUUCCCACUUUCAAAUUCUCCAGUCCUAAAAAAAUGAAAAAAAGAAACUUCUAAAAAAUAAAAAAAAUAAAAACUCUUGUGAUUGGACAUACAUAUAUGCUGUAAGACUGAAAGUUCAGCUUACUUAAAUAUAUCAUGAACGUUCUCUAAGAACACCUUGCCUCCGGCGAACCAGCAUGUCUCUAACCAGUACUAAAACAAUCUUCAAGGCAUUAUCUAGAUCACAACGGUUCCAGAAUUAACAUCAAGAUAUUUCUUGAAGGACUAACCUAGAAAAUACUUUGUUCAUGUUUAGUAUACUGUGAUAAAGCUUAAUGGAAUUACCAAACCAUGUAAUCCAUAAUAGUUCUCCAUACCAAGCCAUAGAACUGAAUUAAACACAUUUAAUUACAGCAAAGCCAUCAAACCAGAAAAACUAAUCGACUAACAAAUCAAAAUUACAUAAAAAUCAAUUACAAAUGCCAAUACCACUAAUCUGUCAUAACACAGAUCACCCACCAUCUUUAACAGUAACAAAGCCCGAAGACAAUAAAACAACCAGCUAAGACAUACAAAGAAACAUAAAAAUUGCUGCAACUAAUUUAAAUUAAAAAAAAAAAAGUACAUACCACCCCAAAUUUGGGUAACCAAGUCAAAGACACCUUUUGGGACCAGGGCAAUUAACUAGAAAAUAAAAGAAUUGUUUACACUUCUGAAUUUCAGCUUACGCAAAACUAGUAGGAUUGCUUCAAACCCAAGAAACUGUGAAUAAAAACCAUAGUGACUUUUUAAUUCAAAUGAUCGCGGGUGAUGGUAAUAAUUGUAGUCACAAUAGUAACAAGGAUGGCGGUGGUGGGGCAAUGCUGGUUAUGGAAUAGCAGAACAGUGAUAAUUGUAGUAGUAGCUUGUCAAUGCAGUGAUAAUGAAGAUGGCAGCAUCAUCAAAGAGUGGUGAUUAUGGUGCUAUAGCAACAGUAGCAACAUCAAAGAUAUUAUGGCAGCUGAGUGGGGGGAGAAAAUAAUGAUAGCAGUGCUGACGACGCUAGUAACUGCAGAGGUGGGAUCUAGAAAAAAUUUUUCCUGGGGUCAAUAUAUAAAAAAUUAAAAAUAUAAAAUAAUUGGACCCUACGAAAUCUAAUACCCUUAAAACAGUAAAAAAUUACAUUACUAUUAAUAUUAUUAAAUAUAUAUUUCUUUGUAUAAAUAACUAAAAAUCAUUAUUGUGAUACCAUUUUAUAAUGAUGAAGUUUAUUAUUGAAAAAUUAUAAUAUAAUUUUAAAAGUAAAUAAAUUUUUCAAUACACAACAUACUUUUUUAUUUCAAUUAAUUUUAAAUUUUAUCAAAAAGAGGGUUUAAUGAUUAAAUUUGUUGAAAUUAUAAAUCUCAAAUCGGAAAAGUAUAAACAUAAAAGUGUUAAAUAUAAAUUGUUAGAUUUCAACAUUAACUUAGCUAAUUAUUUUAAUGUGUAAAGUAAUUUAAUUACUUAUAUAAAUCCAAAUUAAAAUAAAUUAAAUUGU